GGAAGCUAAUCCCGGCCGGUGUCGGGCCCGGUCUUCAAAACCGCUGUUUGGCGCUCAGCGUCAAGGGUGGGUUCGACUCCCACUAGCUUCCGCCA
rnacentral:tRNA from 1 species